rnacentral:rRNA from 1 species
UGGCGGACGGGUGAGUAACGCGUGGGCAACCUGCCUUACACAGGGGGAUAACACUUAGAAAUAGGUGCUAAAACCGCAUAAGCGCACAGCUUCGCAUGAAGCGGUGUGAAAAACUCCGGUGGUGUAAGAUGGACCCGCGUCUGAUUAGCUUGUUGGCGGGGUAACGGCCCACCAAGGCGACGAUCAGUAGCCGGCCUGAGAGGGCGGACGGCCACAUUGGGACUGAGACACGGCCCAAACUCCUACGGGAGGCAGCAG